CCUACGGGAGGCUGCAGUGGGGAAUAUUGCGCAAUGGGCGAAAGCCUGACGCAGCGACGCCGCGUGAGGGAUGAAGGUCUUCGGAUCGUAAACCUCUGUCAGCAGGGAAGAACGGUCACUGUGCUAAUCAGCAGUGAAUUGACGGUACCUGCAAAGGAAGCACCGGCUAACUCCGUGCCAGCAGCCGCGGUAAUACGGAGGGUGCGAGCGUUAGUCGGAAGUACUGGGCGUAAAGCGCUCGUAGGCGGUAUUGCAAGUCAAGGGUGAAAUCCCCGCGCUCAACGUGGGAACUGCCUUGGAAACUGGCAAACUGGAGUGUGUGAGAGGAUAGUGGAAUUCCAGGUGUAGGAGUGAAAUCCGUAGAUAUCUGGAGGAACAUCAGUGGCGAAGGCGACUAUCUGGCACAUAACUGACGCUGAGGAGCGAAAGCGUGGGUAGCAAACAGGAUUAGAUACCCUAGUAGUC
rnacentral:rRNA from 1 species